rnacentral:misc_RNA from 1 species
GUUUUGUUAUUAAACUAUAAGACAAGUACUAUUUAUAAAUUUUAUAUAUUUUGUUAUAUAUGAUUAAAAAUAUGUUUGCGGGCUUCACCUUCCAUUUUGAAUAGUCGCUGUUGGUACAGGACCACCGCUGGCUCCCAUGAGGAAGUCUUCAGGGUCUGACUCAUAUGGAGGUUCGUCAUACCAGUGUUGACCUCCAGGACCCAAACCCAGUCCACCUCCGCAACGUGCAUCCUCGUCGUACAUCAAUAGUGGAUGGUAAAAAUUCUUCUCGGAGAAAUUGCACGGUGUUUCGUUUGGUAAAGUGUAGCAUGGCGCUAAUGCGUGGUAAUUCGAGACGCGAGAAGACCUCGAGUGCCGUUGCUGGUGCGAAAGACUGAGCGAAAUCAAGCGUCUGAGGAUCGUGCACGUGCGUGUGGGCGCGAGAAAAAAUGAGGGGAUCGGGAAAGCGAGCCGCGGAGAAAGCAGUCGACGGUUGUUGACGAUAACGAGAUUAGCCAGAACAUAGAAG